GCCGGUAUAGUUCAAUGGUAGAACAGUGCACUCAUAAAGCACAAAAAAUGGUUCAAUUCCAUUUACCGGCA
rfam:Parcubacteria (Nomurabacteria) bacterium GW2011_GWF1_31_48 TR19_C0007, whole genome shotgun sequence.